rnacentral:rRNA from 2 species
CCAGUCUGCAUGGAGCCGACCUUGAAAUACCACCCUUUAAUGUUUGAUGUUCUAACGUGGACCCGUAAUCCGGGUUGCGGACAGUGUCUGGUGGGUAGUUUGACUGGGGCGGUCUCCUCCUAAAGAGUAACGGAGGAGCACGAAGGUUGGCUAAUCCUGGUCGGACAUCAGGAGGUUAGUGCAAUGGCAUAAGCCAGCUUGACUGCGAGCGUGACGGCGCGAGCAGGUGCGAAAGCAGGUCAUAGUGAUCCGGUGGUUCUGAAUGGAAGGGCCAUCGCUCAACGGAUAAAAGGUACUCCGGGGAUAACAGGCUGAUACCGCCCAAGAGUUCAUAUCGACGGCGGUGUUUGGCACCUCGAUGUCGGCUCAUCACAUCCUGGGGCUGAAGUAGGUCCCAAGGGUAUGGCUGUUCGCCAUUUAAAGUGGUACGCGAGCUGGGUUUAGAACGUCGUGAGACAGUUCGGUCCCUAUCUGCCGUGGGCGCUGGAGAACUGAGGGGGGCUGCUCCUAGUACGAGAGGACCGGAGUGGACGCAUCACUGGUGUUCGGGUUGUCAUGCCAAUGGCACUGCCCGGUAGCUAAAUGCGGAAGAGAUAAGUGCUGAAAGCAUCUAAGCACGAAACUUGCCCCGAGAUGAGUUCUCCCUGAGACUUUAGGUCUCCUGAAGGAACGUUGAAGACGACGACGUUGAUAGGCCGGGUGUGUAAGCGCAGCGAUGCGUUGAGCUAACCGGUACUAAUGAACCGUGAGGCUUAACCUUACAACGCCGAAG